UGCAUUUGUACAUUUCUCCUGAAUUAAAUUGGAAUUCUGCACCCUUGACAUCCUCCUACCCUCCUGGUCUCUGCGGAAGGAGACAGCGACCUGCGCAGCACAACAAAACUAGAAAUCAUCACAGAACUGCAGAAGAGCAAACGCAGUGAGCUGAGGGCAAUUCGACCGUCUUCUCUGUCAGUUCCCCAGAAGUCGAUGAAGCAUAUUACUGGGUCUCCAAGCUUUCAGAGUCCUGUAAGAACAGAGUGGGAGAAACACUGGAGCUGAACAUCUAGAUACACUUCCAAAGAUGUUUGGAAAACUGCCAGCUUCUUGCACGAAGAUUGAAACAGGAUGGGCAGAAAAGGGUGCUGGUGUGGACAUGUAAGGACGCUGUCAAGUCAAUGGAGUUCUGUUGUAGUGGUUGCUUCAGUGAACAUUCAACGCUGUCGGCCUUCACUCUGAAGAUAGAAACCUAACCAGCACUUGAGGUUUCUCCCCCACCCUGCCAAGCUUUACAAAAAAAGGUCACAAUCAACAUUCAUUGCUGUCGGUGGGUUUAACUAUGUGGACAAGCUCACUGAACAAUGAAUGCAACUGUGGCCCCACAUUUUACAGUUGCCAUUGAGAGGAACAUCAGCUCUGAAAGGAGUAGUAAGAAACAGACACUUCUUAUAGGCUACAUUUUUUCUGGUCAAAAAAUAGUUGAGGAUACUCAAUUUUCACUUCCUUGUUUAAGUGUGUUUAACUCUGUUGACUGAAAAAACACUGCUGCCUUUUUCUGGAAUAUUGUCCUUGCAGGGUUUGGCAUAGUUGAAACCAUAGAAAUCCUUGUGUAAUAUGUAUGUAGAAGCAAAUAAUAAGGAACUUUGUGUAUAUGUACUCCUCAAGACUCAUCAUAGGAGGAAAUUGUAUUUAAAUCUCACCUGAACUAGGCAUUGUGGAACAGUUCACAAAAACGCCUUUUAUACUUGUCAAGACAAAAACAGAAAGUCAGAAUUAAAUUUAUAGAUGGAUGAUGUAUAAAAAAAUAGUUUUGCAUAAAACUAAUCUUAUGCACCUAAGUAAAUGGUGUUAGCAAAUAUUAGAUUUGCCUUUUCUAGUGGUCAAAGGGAUUACAGAAAUAUAUAUAUCCAGUAAUUAUAAUUGAAAAACAAACAGUUAAACUGUAAAAUUACUGUAUACUUUGGGUACCAAUGUCACACAUAGUAUUGCUAAUAGUAAUAAGAAAAUAAACAAAAUUAAAGUUCA